rnacentral:misc_RNA from 1 species
GAUGAAGAACGUAGCGAAAUGCGAUACUUGGUGUGAAUUGCAGAAUCCCGUGAACCAUCGAGUCUUUGAACGCAAGUUGCGCCCGAAGCCAUUAGGCCGAGGGCACGCCUGCCUGGGCGUCACACGUCGUUGCCCCCCAUCUACUCCUUCGGGAUUGCGGGGGGCGGAUGAUGGCCUCCCGUGCGCCUCGUCGCGCGGUUGGCAUAAAUGCCAAGUCCUCGGCGACGCACGCCACGACAAUCGGUGGUUGCGAAACCUCGGUUGCCCGUCGUGUGCGGUCGUCGCGCAUCGAGGGCUCGAAAAAAUUGCCGGGCUCCGGCUCGGCUUUCAACGCGACCCCAGGUCAGGCGGGGUUACCCGCUGAAUUUAAGCAUAUCAAUAGCGGAGA